UCCCCCAAUCUCAUUUCAAAUUCCAAAUCCACAGCUCCCUUCGCUUUUCAUUCUCUCUCCGAUUUUGGAUCUGGAUCUGCUAUAUCUUUGCCUUGCGUGGCUUAAUUCCAACAUUCAGUUUCUAAUUCAAGCUCUCAACAACGGGGACAAAUACAUCAACCAACGGCGACACAGUCAGGUUGUUUAAAUUUAGGGUUCCAGCAAAAAAUGGAGAUGGUUACGAGUUCCGGUGGUGAUUGUGUUAAGAUUCUACAGCCAUCAGAGGAGAGGAGGAUGGACCUUCCAACGAAGCUCCGGUGAAGAUUUUGGCAACUCCGGUAAGGAAGUUCUGCCGUGCUUUCCUUCUAUUCAAGGGUUAUAGUAGAGCAAAAGAUCUAGAAAGUGAGGAACUAACUAUUGGAACAACUUCCUUCUUUGCUGUAUCUACUGUAUCACCUUAUCGGAUGCAUGGUGGAUGUUUGGACAAAGGAAAGAGAAGUUGCUGGAUUAAAGGCAGCUUGAGGGAUGUUAGCUUACAUGUAUCUUGGCAAGUCAAAUAACCCGUCAUGUUGGCCAGGUCUGAUUACAUUAUUAUCAUGUAGUUUUAUGCCGAUAGCCACCGGAAAGAACAUGGAAAACCUGAUUUUGAGUCAUUUAAGCAAAAGGUAAUAUCCUUUUAUUAUAAGAUGUUACACUCAUUUUGAAUAACCUGUUCAUUUUGUGCUUAAAGUGAACGCAGCCGCAGCAGUGAAGGGCAUUAAUGAACUGGGUUCCAAAAGGAGUUUCAAGGGCAAUGGUGGACUUGGAGAUGUCGUUUUAUGCAAGAAUAAGUUGGAUGGAAGACAAUAUGAUGUUAAGAAGAUUCAAUUAAAGGGCGGAAGUCAUCCUUUAGAUGAUAAAAUCAAGUAUUUAGUUGGAAUUGCUAACAACCUUGCUUUUCUAGUUCUGUACCCGUUCGGUGGACAGACAUAUUAAUGGUAUAAUGACAUAAGUUAUACCCUGAUUAUGUUUUAACCUGUCUUCUAGUUUUGUUUUGUUUGUUUUAGUAUUUAAAUUUCUAUAACUAGUACUUUUAUUUGGUUGUUUGUAAGAUUAAUGUUUAUUAGUUUAAUUAAGAAUCUUAAUUUGUUUCCA